rnacentral:lncRNA from 1 species
AGCUUGCAUUGCAUUUAGAGAAAUUAAAAUCUGCUUGUUAGCAUCUAAUGUCUUGUAGGAUUUAGAAGUAUGUCUAAGCUACUUGAAUCAUUGGCCUUAAUAAAUCUAGUAAGCAUAAGCAUGAAUUGAGUCACGCUUGUUGCCUUGAUUGCAUAAAGAAUCAUCUAGUCUUGUGUUCAUUUGGAUUGAAUCUGUUUCAUUCAUAUAGUUAGUGUGUAACCUAAUGCAUUCAUCUAUUGUUGCAUUUAAAAAAUAAACUGAAUUGAAAGCAUACAUUGAGAUCAGUAUAUUGUUGAAAGCAUACAUUGUCUUUUCAUAUUCUUGUCUUGAUUGUCUAGCUUGUUUCAAGUAUCAUAUAUUAUUGUGGCAUUGGUGAUCAAACAGGAUGGAUGAUCUUGGUUUGAUUCCAAUGGGAUGAUCUGAUCUUGCAUUGAGUUGUGGUGGUGUUAGGUACACAAGGGAAGUGAUACAUGUAACUCGCCAUCAACCAAGAAUGUAGAGCCAAAGGUCUUGUGCCAUUACAUAUCAUCACUUGGACAUGUUAGUCCAUAAUCUACAGGAAGUGUAGUGUGAUUGAUUAUGCAAUGAGAGAUGGCCAUUGCAUAAUACCAUUGGACAUAUCU